UACGUAGGGUGCAAGCGUUGUCCGGAAUUAUUGGGCGUAAAGGGCUCGUAGGCGGUUUGUCGCGUCGGGAGUGAAAACUCAGGGCUUAACCCUGAGCCUGCUUCCGAUACGGGCAGACUAGAGGUAUGCAGGGGAGAACGGAAUUCCUGGUGUAGCGGUGGAAUGCGCAGAUAUCAGGAGGAACACCGGUGGCGAAGGCGGGUCUCUGGGCCGAUACUGACGCUGAGGAGCGAAAGCGUGGGGAGCGAACAGG
rnacentral:rRNA from 1 species